GGUGUAGGCGGUUUGGCAAGUCGAGUGUGAAAUCCCAGGGCCCAACCCUGGAACUGCACUCGAUACUGCUUGACUAGAGUCCCGGAGAGGGUGGCGGAACUCCCGGUGUAGAGGUGAAAUUCGUAGAUAUCGGGAGGAACACCAGUGGCGAAGGCGGCCACCUGGACGGUGACUGACGCUCAGACCCGAAAGCGUGGGGAGCAAACAGGAUUAGAUACCCUGGUAGUCC
rnacentral:rRNA from 1 species